GGUGUGAGACAGUUCAAGUCAUGGAGGAGAUGCUAGUUGGAGCUAAAGGGCGCAGGCUGCGUGUUGUCCUCCAUCUUGAGUUCACACGGACGGCAUCCUCGAUGGUUCCAAUUUCCAGCCCAUUCCCCAAUUUUCAACCCCAGUGACAGACAACACACGCUGGAAUGUCUGUUUAGCUAAAGAAGGGAAUUGCUGGGACCUGGAGAGUUGGAGGCAGCAGAGACGGAGCUCCCCUGCCACCCUGAUGUGCUGGGAAAACAGUGCGAGGACCAUGCUGAGAGACAGAAAGGGAGAGGAAGAAACGGAAAGGAAGGAAGAGGAGAGAGAUUCACAGAAUAGGGAUAUGGA